ACUACGGGAGGCAGCAGUGAGGCAUAUUGGUCAAUGGGCGCAAGCCUGAACCAGCCAAGUCGCGUGAGGGAAGACGGCCCUACGGGUUGUCAACCUCUUUUGCCGGGGAGCAAGCCUGAGCACGUGUGCCCAGGCGGAGAGUACCCGGAGAAAAAGCAUAGGCUAACUCCGUGCCAGCAGCCGCGGUAAUACGGAGGAUGCGAGCGUUAUCCGGAUUGAUUGGGUUUAAAGUGUGCUCAGGCGGGCUGUUAAGCCGGCGGUAAAAAUUCAUGGCUCAACCCUGUCUAGCCGUCGUACCUGGCAGUCUGGAGUGUGCGAGAAGUAUGCUGAAUGCGUGGUGGAGCGGUGAAAUGCAUAGAUAUCACGCAGAACGCCGAUUGCGAAGGCAGCAUACCGGCGCCCAACUGACGCUGAGGCACGAAAGCGUGGGGAUCGAACAGGAUUAGAUACCCCUGUAGUC
rnacentral:rRNA from 1 species